AACCCAUAGACUACACAAUGCCAAGAGUGAGUCUAAGGUAAACGGUGGACUUUGGGUGAAUGUGAUGUAAGAGUGUAAAUGGAUUCUAGGUUAAAAAAAAAGAACAAGAAGAAGAAAAAUACUGUUGGGAAACUGCAGAUGUAGCUGAACAUUGGCAGGGCCCAUAAACCAUUAUAUUUCCAUGCAAGUUUUAUUUACAGAUAAAACUUUGCCCACGUUGCCCCCUCAGGGUAUCACCCAUUCCCGUAAGAGCUGAAACCCUAGCAACCAUCCCUAUGGAGGCUGUCUACCUUCCCAGAGUGCCGUGUUUUCCCCACCCCCUUUUUCUAGCCAAUCCUGUCCCGACUUGCCACUUCCAGAAUUUCUCCCAUGAAAGCCCUCUUGCUUCUGCUUUCUCUCUCUUGCUUUUUUCCUCUCUUCGGCGACCCAGAGAAGGGCUGCUAGGCAUAGUGGGAGGCAGCCAUUUUGUUAGCUCCACGUGGCCUAAACCACCCUGCUCUCGCCCAUUUCUGGGGUGUCUGCAUGAAUCAAUAUUUGUGUUCCCACUCCGCUCUGGUCUCUUCUCUCUCCCCCGCAACUUAUCCCGACAAAUACCUUAGGAAAACUAUGGUGGUCAUCACUGAGUGUGUGUUACAGGGAGGUGGGGGCACACAACGCUGGAGCUACACCCUCAUUAUCUUUUAAUCUUAUAAACCACUAAUAAAAAAUUCAAACAAAAGAAGUACCAGGGAAUGGUGCUGAUAUGGAGGAAGAUUGUACAUGCAAUGUGUAUGGACAAGAAGAUUAUGAGAAGUUUCUUGCAUUUUCUUCUAAUUUUACUAAUAUAUCCACAACCGCUCUAAAAUUGUGUCAGCUUAGAUAGGAUUGUUGUAAGAUAAGACAGAUGGUAGAAAAUAAGUGUUUUCCAAAUGUAUACACACACAAACACAAAUAUAGAUAUAUGUCAUAACCAUAAUUUGACUGACACAUACAUAUAGGAGUGGCAUGGGGACUGCCUGAAUGUCCAGGAUACUCCCAGUCCCAGCAGUGAUGCUUUCUUCUUGUCCCCUGGCAAUAUGGAGGACUGAAACCAAGGCACAGAUAAAAUUCUGUCUAGUACAGUCCAUUCUCAUCGAAGAAUCUGAAAACCUGAACAAAGAUAAGGCCUCUGUUGUUUUUGUCCCCAAGUUCAGUUGCUCAGUUCUUCUCAUCAGUCCUAUAAACUUCCACUAUUCUUAUAAUAAUUUAUUCUUUCUCACAUUUCCAAAGCUAUCAAAAAAAAAAGUCUUAUUUAUCAGAUGCUUUUCAUGAAUCAUUUCCUCCACAAAUUCUUCUUUGGUUCACAUUUGCUCUACAGUGUGAGUAAAAAGUCCGUGAGUGAGUGCCAGAGAGUAUAAAUCAUGAAACAGUCUAUCUUAUGCAACCCCGAAGCCAUGACCUUUGCUCCUUAUUCUUGAUUGUCUGCUGAGUGAAGAUUUCAUUCCCUCUGGGAAGAUAAGGGUUCUGUUGGUGUUGGUCCAGUGCCUGGAACCCCGUUACUGGAGGCCAGUUCUCACACACCUUUCCUUUUGUGUGUGGAGGACAAGCCGAGGAAAGACUUCUGGUAAGAGUGAGAAGCAGCAUGAAAAUCAGCAGGAAAUGUGAACGGGUUAUAAAAGUCCUGUCUUUCUGGUUUCCCCACAAAGCAGCCUCCUCAAAUACUGGAUUGGUGGCACAGCUCCUCCCUUCCCAGAAGUGUGAGUACACCAGGCUUUGACCGGGAAGUCAGAAACAAACUACUUGCAGGAAGUGUUGCCUCCACACAUCAUCUCCUCAUGAGGAAAAAGCAAAGUAGAGUUUCUUAAAAUAAUGACCAAGAAGCCAUUUCGCUUGUGAGUACCACAGAAACAGCACACCAGAUGUUAGCUCAGGACUUUCUGAUCCCUAGACAACUAGCCAGUCCAAGAAGAACCAAGAGGACUGAGAGAACAUUCCCCUGCAUCCUGACAGUGUUGUUGACGCUGAAAUAGAGUUCUCUACCUGGUGCCACAGAGAGCCAAACACUGUCAGAUGUUACAGACACAGCAUCAGAGACUUCACUCUUCAAACUGUGUAAUUCAUGUGAAAAACUGCAAGGGGUCCUUACACCGCAAAACUGUCUGGAAUGUCUCACUAUCUGAAGCCAGGAAGACAGAUUCAGAAUGCAAAACACUGUACUUAAGAAAGAAAUGCAAUCACCAAAGAAGAACAACUGUAGAGUCAACAAUGAGUAGAGGAUAAAAAAAGUCUUGUAAGUGGCUCAGUGUCAAAAAAAAAAAAAUUAAAACACAUAAUUUCAUAUAUUUUAUCUUGAUUUUCUUUAUCAUACUCAACCUUUAGAUAAACAUAAAGCAAUGUAAGUAAAACUGAAAAAUAAUAAGUACUAAUGUAUUAUUCAUUAUGUGCUCUCUGCCUGAAUCUGCAUUUCCCUGAAGCAAAAAAUCUAAGCAAAAGUCUAUAUACUGCUGCCUUAUUAUUUAACUUAUAAAAUUACAGAAAUAAAACAUUAUUAGAAACAGGGCUGAGGGUGUGGGUUGACCUGCAAAUAGCCAUGUCCAGUAGAGAAGCAAUUACAGAAGCCAGAACCUUCUGCACCCCACAAUGAAACUUGGUCCAUCCUCCCAAGGGGUAAAUGAUACGGGAAGAUAGCCAGAGGGCUCUGAACCCCCAUUUGACCAGGACCCUAAGUGUUUGUUGCCAGGAAUACUGUUUUCACACCACCACUGAAAGGAAAGCAAAUUUCACACCAGGAAAAGAUAGGCACUGUUUCUCUUACCUGAGAGAGAAGAGGAAGAAAGUAAAGACACCCAGAAGUAGUAAGAGGUGUAGAUGUGACUUAGAAAGGAAGUGAAGGUAGUAACAUAGAAAAAAAGUUAGACAAAAAAAAACAAAAAACAAAAAAGACAGAUAUAGAUACACAGUUAUAAAGUCAACCCAUAGAUGCAAGCUUGGGAGAACCACUGCAGUUUCCAAUGGAAGCAAUGGCGGUGGGAAUGGUGUGGAAUUAUGUCCCUAUUACCUUAUAAUUUUUAAUCAAUACUAAACCACUAAUAAACAAGUAACAGUUAAAUAACACACACGCAAAGAAGUAUAACAUUAUAAAAUAAUGCAACAAACCAUAUUAUUAUUACCCCAUUAGUAGGGAAUACAAUCCCAGGAAAGCAGGAAUGAAGAGGAAAGAAGUGAAUCAAAGGAGAGGCAGCAGACUCUAAUAGCUUAUACAGACUCUUGGAUUGUACCAUCUUCUGUAACCUUCUUCCGAAAGGCUGUAUAGGCCAUUACAAUCUCAGAACAAUACAUCCAGGAGAGAAAAGAAAAAAAAAAAAGUAUCGCUUGAUAAGCGUUUCUUGUUGAUCAAACUGACUGCCCAGUGGGUUGUACAGGCUUUCGAAUCCUGCAGUCGCCCACUUCAACAGCAACAGGAGUCACAGGACAAAAGGUUAAAAGUGCACUGGACAGGUGUGAGGCAGAGCACUGUCGCCUUUUUCCUUUGAGAUGUCAGAGGUGCAAAAGCUCACUGCAACAAAUGCCCAGAGACUAGAAGUAGCUGACUAAGAGGGCAGAUUUAUCACAUCAGCUUUCAUUACAGCUCACUCCUUGCACU